rnacentral:tRNA from 1 species
CUGGGGUUGUGCUCAGCGGUAGAGCACUCGCCUAGCAUGUGCGAGGCCCUGGGUUCGAUCCUCAAUACCACA